UUUCUUAUAAUUGGCUUAACUGUUAUGUAGUUGCUUGGUGUCAAUUGAUGAAUCCCUUUCGGUUCUUUCCCUUCGCCUUCCUCCGCCCGCUAUUAAUGAAGUCUGUUGGAAAGAAAUGGCUUUGUCUUUGAGAUGACUUUAAAUUACAGCCACUGAUAGAUGGAUAAUGUCCGCACAAUAGAAUAGAAAAAACUUCUAUGUUCAUAUUCAUGCUAAUCAAUGUUGACUGACUUUCUCAAGUCUUCCUGAUUUGUUUGCUUGCAUAAUUUUGAUUUUUCAGAAGACUACUUCAAAUGCAGCCAUCUUCAUAUGCAAAUGCCCAACUCGCAUGAUAAGGACUAAAUAUGACACGAGGGGAAAGAAGAAAAAGAAAAAAGAUUUUUCCUCACAGAGAAGACUACUUCAAAUGCAGCCAUCUUCAUACGCAAAUGCCCAACUCGCAUGAUAAGGACUAAAUAUGACAUGAGGGGAAAGAAGAAAAAUAAAAAAGAUUUUUCCUCACAGAGAAGACUACUUCAAAUGCAGCUAUCUUCAUACGCAAAUGCCCAACUCGCAUGAUAAGGACUAAAUAUGGCACGAGGGGAAAGAAGAAAAAGAAAAAAGAUUUUUCCUCACAGAAGUCUAUUCUGUGCUCUAAACUUUCUCUUUAAUUUAGUCUAUUAUGUGUUCUUUGUUACAAUUGGCUUAACUGUCGUGUAGUUUUUUUUUUUUUUUUUUGGUUAAAAGGGUAAGCUAUUAACUGUUGUGCAGUUGCUUGGUGUCAAUUGAUGAAUCCUUUUCGGUUCUUUCCCUUUUCCUUCCUCUGCUCACUAUUAAUGAAGUCUGUUGGAAAGAAAUGGCUUUGUCUUAGAGACAACUUUAAAUUACAGCCACUGAUAGAUGGAUAUUGUCCGCAUAAUAGAAUAGAAAAAUCUUCUAUGUUCGUAUUCAUGCUAAUCAAUGUGGACUGACUCUCUCAAGUCUACCUGAUUUGUUUGCUUGCAUGAUUUUGAUUUUUCAGAAGACUAAUUCAAAUGCAGCCAUCUUCAUACGCAAAUGCCCAACUCGCAUGAUAAGGACUAAAUAUUACAUGAGGGGAAAGAAGAAAAAGAAAAAAGAUUUUUCCUCACAGAGAAGACUACUUCAAAUGCAGCCAUCUUCAUAUGCAAAUGCCCAACUCGCAUGAUAAGGACUAAAUAUGACAUGAGGGGAAAGAAGAAAAAGAAAAAAGAUUUUUCCUCACCGAGUUGCUUGGUGCCAAUUGAUGAAUCCUUUUCGGUUCUUUCCCUUCUCCUUCCUCCGCCCGCUAUUAAUGAAGUCUGUUGGAAAGAAAUGGCUUUGUCUUUGAGACGACUUUAAAUUACAGCCAUUGAUAGAUGGAUAUCGUCGUACAAUAGAAUAGAAAAAACUUCUAUGUUUAUAUUCAUGCUAAUCAAUGUUGACUGACUUUCUCAAAGUCUUCCUGAUUUGUUUGCUUACAUGAUUUUGAUUUUUCAGAAGACUACUUCAAAUGCAGCCAUCUUUAUACGCAAAUGCCCAACUUGCAUGAUAAGGACUAAAUAUGACACGGGGGGAAAGAAGAAAAAAGAAAUAAGUGGUACACAUGAAAACAGAAAAAUGAAAUGCUCUUUUCUUAAAAUUUCCAACUCCCUCCCCCUAUCUCCAUCCCUCAUCUCCUUUUUUUCGUCCUAUUUGUCAAGACGAAAAUUCUAUCUUCUUUCCAAUUCUCUCCCUUUCGGACUCUUAACCGAAUUGUAGUUUUAAUUUAAGGGUGAAUUAUACUGGUUCCUGAUAUUUGGAUAAUAAAUUGUUCAACAUUUAUUAUUUUAACAUCUUCUUAAUUUUGACGGUGUAUGCUCAAUGACAGCCUUGUCAUUUUGUUUCCACGUUGACUAAGUUUUAUAAAAUGAUAAUUUUAUCUUUUAAUUGUAUGAAAAAAUAAUAAGACAAUAUUUUAUCUUUUCUUUGCUGUUAGGACUUACGGUGAAUAUGGUUACGUUUGUGCGAGUUGAGUGAUUUGGUAUAUAACUUAGAAUCAAUUGUAGAGGAAGAUGAGAUGGUGAAAAUCUUAGAUCUUUUGAGGGUUGUUUAGAGAGUGGAGAGCUUGAGGCUGUAGAGAGAAGGUUGUGUCUUGAGUGAUUGAGGCAGCGAAGGUGAUUUUGAGGUUAAGGGAGCGACUAGAGAGUGGUGGGGUUGCGAAGAAAUAGAAACGAAGGGUUUUAGAGAGAAACUUUUUACGUCUGUAAACCAACUGGGUCUGUGUUUUCUCACAUUGAUCGGGUGGCUAAAAAACAGAGAGCUCCCAAGUAUUUUGAUGAGAGCGUUUUCUAAGUAGCACCACUCUAAUCUUUAUGGUAGUUAGUUAAAGGAUAAAGUACAUUAAACCCCCCUGAACUAUUGGUUAUUUGCAGGAAACCCCCCUGAACUACAAAAAACCUUCCUGAACUAUGAUUUUGUUGCAAUUUACCCCCUUGAACUAUUGGUCAUUUGCAAGAAACCCCCCUGAACUACAAAAAACCCCCUUGAACUAUGAUUUUGUUGCAAUUUACCCCCCUGAACUAUGAUUUUGUUGCAAUUUACCCCCAUGACAUCAGCUUCCGGUACCGAAAAUUUUGAAAGACCAGUUUACCCUUAUAACACGUACACUGCGUCGUUUUAACUUAUACACUUCUUAUUUUUUUAUUUUUAUUUUAUUUUAUUUUAUUUUAUUUUUUUUUCUGCUAAAAGAUGCCUUUCACCCAACACAACCCAAAACUGAGAGCUAGAGAAAGAGAGAAGAGACCAAAGAAAUCCGAGGUCGGUGGGAUGGAUCGGUCUCGGAUGAUGGUAGCUUGUGCGUGGAGGACUCGGCUGUGAUGAGAGCUCGGUUGACUCGGCCGUGAACUGUGGAGGCGGCGGCGAGCUCAAGGGGGCUCGGCGGUGAACUGUGGACGGCUGUGUGCUUGAAACACGGACGGCGAUGUGCUCGGCUAUGGAGAUGGCGGAAUGGGCAGGCGAGAUUGGAAUGGAUGGUGGAGUGGACCGGCGAGCAAGGUGAGCUGAAUGGCGGGCAAGGCAGUGACGGCGAUGGGCUGACGCAACGGUGCAGGGAAGUGCGAUAUAUAUGGCCGACGGAUCUGGCGAGUGGUGCAACAGUUAUGAUGGAGCUAUGACAGGAGACCCACCGAUCCCAGCAACAAAUUCCUCGGCUUCAUCGUCCCUUUCAGUCAAUCAAUUCGCAUGGAUGGGGUAAACUGCAAAAAAAUAUAUAGUUCAGGGGGGUUUUUUGCACAUACCCCAAUAGUUCAGGGGUUUUUUUUUUUUGCAACUUUUAUAGUUCAAGGGGGUUUCUUGCACAUACCCCAAUAGUUCAGGGGUUUUUUUUUGCAAUUUUUAUAGUUCAGGGGGGUUUCUUGCACAUACCCUAAUAGUUCAGGGGGGUUUAAUGCACUUUACCCUUAGUUAAAUUAAACUUUUAACAAUAAUUUUUAUUUUUUUGAAUUAAACUUAAUUAAUUUUUUUAGGUGAUGAUAUUGGGUUCCAAAAUUCAACUCUGAUGCUCUACUUUCUUUUACUAUUAAUUGGAAUGUCAAAUUUACCCUCAUGCAUCUCCUUCAACAAAAAAAAAGUCCUCCGUCAAUAUUUUUAGCCAUUUUACUUUAAUUAGCCCUGUUGAAAUUAACAAGGAAUAGAUGGAUGAGAAAUCUAAGUGAGGUAAAUUUCAAUUUAUGAUAGUAUCACUGCUGGGUUUGGGUUGGACCCUGUAGCUGGCGACAAAGGUGGGGAUUUGGAAGGGACGAACUAGGUCUCGCAGGAGAACUUGCCGGCAUGUGAAUUUGUAAACACUUGGGUGUCAGUAAUAAAGGUUGGUGUUGAUUCUAGUAUCAAAUUUUUGAGCACUUGGGGGCAUUUCCAAGUGCGCAAGCAUGCACUUGUGUGUGUGUAUGCGCAUAUGUGGGUCAUUAACUAUCCAGAGAUUUAUAAUUAUUUAGGAAAACAUGAAUUAAAGAUUGCAGGUAAGCAUUAUGUUGGACAUGGUUAAAAUUCUAUCAUCUUUCCUUUUUCCCCUUGUUUUCCUUGACAAGCAUG